GAUGAAGAACGCAGCAAAAUGCGAUAAGUAAUGUGAAUUGCAGAAUUCAGUGAAUCAUCGAAUCUUUGAACGCAUAUUGCGCUCUCUGGUAUUCCGGAGAGCAUGCUUGUUUGAGUAUCAGUAAACACCUCAACUUCCAUAUCUUUUUUGAAAUGGGAGUUGGACUUGAGUGAUCCCAACGCUUUUCCUCACCGAAAAGUGGCGGGUUACUUGAAAUGCAGGUGCAGCUGGACUUUUCUCUGAGCUAUAAGCAUAUCUAUUUAGUCUGCCUAAAAAACAGAUUAUUACCUUUGCUGCAGCUAACAUAAAGGAGAUUAGUUCUUGUGCUGACUGAUGCAGGAUUCACAAAGACGGCUUCGGCCGACUUUGUAAACUCGAUCUCAAAUCAAGUAAGACUACCCGCUGAACUUAAGCAUAUCAAUAAGCGGAGGA
rnacentral:misc_RNA from 1 species